CUCCAGUAGUUUGUUUUUUCCUUAGCAUAAAUAAAUAUUCCCCCUUAGACACAUUUUUUAUAUUAACACAGAAUAUUCAUUUUACUAAAGCAGCUAAGAUAAAACUAUGUAUUAAAGCAACAUGAAAAAGGGUCAAUAGGAGACUUUAAAUGAGAAUAUCUGGUCUGAGCUGAAUGGUAAGAAAGGUGUUAGUUCUCUUUAGGUCUACUUUGAGACCAAAAAUACUGGGCACACAAGAAAGCACAUCAUAUAUUCCCUGUUUUUUGACAGUUGAUCAAAUUCAGCAAUUAAGUUCUACUUUAUAUUUCACAGGGUAAAAUUGACAUAGCCUUCACUGUGUAGUAGAGCCAUGGUUUUAAUGUCUCAAUUCAUGUGUAGCUAAAUUAUAAACUUUUAUGUCGAACAGGGUUUGAUGCAGACAGGAGAGAGAAAGGCUUAUGAGACACCACAUUGAAGACCAAGUGUGUGGACUGCUUUCCUCAGCAAGGGCUUUUAUGCCUUGUGGAAUAUGUUCUGAUUAUAGGAAUAUGGGAAAAUGCCUUAUGUCUAUGAUGAACUUAUUGACUAUAACAUCCAAGUUGAUUACAUGCUGCCACAUCCAUGCCAUUCAAUGAAGAAUGAAAAGCACAAUGAAAGAAAAAGAAAUGUGGGUGAAUCCAGGCCAGUCUAUGUCAUAGGGAAGGAGUGGGUGCAGACUCAGCACCAGCAAAGCAGGAGUCCUCUGCAAGGCAUCCAGGAGAAGAGACGCUAGAGAUUUACAGCUGCCCUGCACCGCUGCAGAAGAAACAGCAGGGACAACAGAAACAUGUGUGGUGGUGACUCCUGGCAACACAUGGACUCAGCUGCCUUCCAGUACAGACCCAAAGUCACGGCAUGUCCCAGAUUCUAUCUGUGGCUUGGAAAAUAAGAUUCUCAAGCAUUUAUCCUUGGUCAGUACAAAGACCACUGCUUUCAAUCCGUUUAUUUCUGUGUCUGAGUUUUUAAUCUUUCAAUAAAUCAUUCCUUUCAGAAAA
rnacentral:sRNA from 1 species